GGUACAGGGAUGGAGAGGAACUCCAGGCAUCUGCUCCAGGGGUCACCAAGGACUGAGAUGAUUCAGAAUGUGGAAGCUCACUGCCUCCCUUGGCUUCUUCGCCGCCCCUCCCCCUCUCUAGGCCUGCUUCCAGUCUGUAGUUCACCUGCUUCCAAAACCUCGACCUUCAUCACGAACACAGAUCCAAGCUGAGGUACUCAAAAGUCACACCUGAGACCCCAAGACAGGUGGAAGGACAUUGGACCCCAGGACCUAGGACUGUGCAAUCAAUGCUCCCACCCCACAGCAGACCCUCACUCCCAGUCCUUUGGCUCCCAGGACCCAUUUUCUUCUCCAGGAAGCUCAUGGCCUCUAUCUUGCCAGGUCUCCUGGAGUUUCCCAGCUGGACAGGAAGUUCAGAUGAGAGGGGACCAAAAGCCUUUACAUACAACCAGCAUUGCAGAAGCCUCUGGAAUCUUCUCCUGCCAUGUUCUUAGCCAUCAGAAGCAGCUAGGGCAUUUGUGAGCUGGGUUGAGGCUGGGACAACAGGGGACCUGGGGACUGUUAAGAAGCAAGAACAUGUCUGCUUCUUUUAUGACCUUCAAUAUUAGCCACCAGGAAGUUGCCCCAUGAAGCCCACGACCUCGUAUCACUAACUCGGCUUGAAUUGAUUAAGGAGACUGGGAUGA
ensembl:lincRNA Gm20052 predicted gene, 20052